UGGGGAAUAUUGCACAAUGGGCGCAAGCCUGAUGCAGCCAUGCCGCGUGUAUGAAGAAGGCCUUCGGGUUGUAAAGUACUUUCAGCGGGGAGGAAGGGAGUAAAGUUAAUACCUUUGCUCAUUGACGUUACCCGCAGAAGAAGCACCGGCUAACUCCGUGCCAGCAGCCGCGGUAAUACGGAGGGUGCAAGCGUUAAUCGGAAUUACUGGGCGUAAAGCGCACGCAGGCGGUUUGUUAAGUCAGAUGUGAAAUCCCCGGGCUCAACCUGGGAGCUGCAUCUGAUACUGGCAAGCUUGAGUCUCGUAGAGGGGGGUAGAAUUCCAGGUGUGGCGGUGAAAUGCGUAGAGAUCUGGAGGAAUACCGGUGGCGAAGGCGGCCCCCUGGACGAAGACUGACGCUCAGGUGCGAAAGCGUGGGGAGCAAACAGG
rnacentral:rRNA from 1 species